rnacentral:ncRNA from 20 species
AAUCUGUUUCAGGGCGGAGUGAAAUUCUCCACCGGUGGUAAAGUCCACGAGCGCAAAGUAUUUGUGCCGAUUCGGUGAAAUUCCGAAACCGACGGUAUAGUCCGGAUGAAAGAAUCAGAAA